AGAGUUUGAUCCUGGCUCAGGAUGAACGCUAGCUACAGGCUUAACACAUGCAAGUCGAGGGGCAGCAUGGACCCAGCUUUGCUGGGUUUGAUGGCGACCGGCGCACGGGUGAGUAACGCGUAUCCAACCUGCCCUUUACUCCGGGAUAGUCUCCUGAAAGGGAGUUUAAUACCGGAUGUGUUUGUCUUUCCGCAUGGGAGCGACAAAUAAAGAUUAAUUGGUAAAGGAUGGGGAUGCGUCCCAUUAGCUUGUUGGCGGGGUAACGGCCCACCAAGGCGACGAUGGGUAGGGGUUCUGAGAGGAAGGUCCCCCACAUUGGAACUGAGACACGGUCCAAACUCCUACGGGAGGCAGCAGUGAGGAAUAUUGGUCAAUGGGCGAGAGCCUGAACCAGCCAAGUAGCGUGAAGGAUGAAGGUCCUACGGAUUGUAAACUUCUUUUAUAAGGGAAUAAACCCUCCCACGUGUGGGAGCUUGUAUGUACCUUAUGAAUAAGCAUCGGCUAACUCCGUGCCAGCAGCCGCGGUAAUACGGAAGAUGCGAGCGUUAUCCGGAUUUAUUGGGUUUAAAGGGAGCGUAGGCGGGCUUUUAAGUCAGCGGUCAAAUGUCGUGGCUCAACCAUGUCAAGCCGUUGAAACUGUAAGCCUUGAGUCUGCACAGGGCACAUGGAAUUCGUGGUGUAGCGGUGAAAUGCUUAGAUAUCACGAAGAACUCCGAUCGCGAAGGCAUUGUGCCGGGGCAUAACUGACGCUGAGGCUCGAAAGUGCGGGUAUCAAACAGGAUUAGAUACCCUGGUAGUCCGCACGGUAAACGAUGAAUGCUCGCUAUGGGCGAUAUAUUGUCCGUGGCCAAGCGAAAGCGUUAAGCAUUCCACCUGGGGAGUACGCCGGCAACGGUGAAACUCAAAGGAAUUGACGGGGGC
rnacentral:rRNA from 1 species